CUCCCUCUCUCGGUUCCUCCUUGAGCCGAAUCCUCUCUUCUUCCUCUCGACCGAUCUCCCUCGAUUUCUCUCGCCUUCGCCGCCGAUCCUGAGGAGCUCGUCGCCGGAUCUUGACGGUGCCGAGGAAGACCAGGCUGCCUUCGGCCGAGGGGUUCUGUCCCGUGAGUUCUGCGGCUAAGCGUCAACGGCGAGGUGGCUAGGGCACGGUGAGGAGCAAGAUUCGUCGCCUCCCAACCGAUCGACCUCCGUUCUUCUCUCCUCGCACUACUCAUAGUGCGAUCCUCCUCUUCACUGUCCAGAUCUGGAUCGAGCCGUGCCACCCGAUCGCCGGCGUGGAAGGGGUGAUUAGGGCUUCAAGGAUUGAGGUUACGGGAUUGGAGAAGAAGAGUGUGGUUCUGUUCUGAUCAGAUCUUGGACCUUUCAUUGUUGCCGAUUGAAGUCCCAGAUUGGAGUAGGGUUAGCAUCUGUGAUAGUGAAGUGAAUUCAGCAUAAGUGUUCUGUGAGGUUGCUUGUUGUUGGUCCGGCAUCACCCACAACCAGCAGUAGCUCCUCUGGUUCCAGCAUCAACAGUAGCUGGAAAUUGAGGACAUUGAUUCGAGACAGACGUCUCAACAUUGGAUUAGGACUGGAUUGUACCUUCUAUUG